AUACCAGACUCCUACGGGAGGCAGCAGUGGGGAAUAUUGCACAAUGGGGGGAACCCUGAUGCAGCGACGCCGCGUGAGGGAAGAAGGUUUUCGGAUUGUAAACCUCUGUCCUCUGUGACGAUAAUGACGGUAGCAGAGGAGGAAGCCACGGCUAACUACGUGCCAGCAGCCGCGGUAAUACGUAGGGGGCAAGCGUUAUCCGGAUUCACUGGGUGUAAAGGGAGCGUAGACGGCGACGCAAGUCUGGAGUGAAAGCCCGGGGCCCAACCCCGGGACUGCUCUGGAAACUGCGGCGCUGGAGUACGGGAGGGGCAGGCGGAAUUCCUGGUGUAGCGGUGAAAUGCGUAGAUAUCAGGAGGAACACCGGCGGCGAAGGCGGCCUGCUGGACCGUGACUGACGUUGAGGCUCGAGAGCGUGGGGAGCAAACAGGAUUAGAUACCCGCGUAUC
rnacentral:rRNA from 1 species